rnacentral:rRNA from 1 species
UGGGGGAUAUUGCACAAUGGGCGAAAGCCUGAUGCAGCGACGCCGCGUGGGGGAUGAAGGCUUUCGGGUUGUAAACCUCUUUCGCUAUCGAACAAGGUCCGCUUAGGGUGGGUUGAGGGUAGGUGGAGAAGAAGCGCCGGCUAACUACGUGCCAGCAGCCGCGGUAAUACGUAGGGCGCGAGCGUUGUCCGGAAUUAUUGGGCGUAAAGGGCUUGUAGGCGGCUUGUUGCGCCUGCUGUGAAAACGCGGGGCUUAACUUCGCGCGUGCAGUGGGUACGGGCAGGCUUGAGUGUGGUAGGGGUGACUGGAAUUCCAGGUGUAGCGGUGGAAUGCGCAGAUAUCUGGAGGAACACCGAUGGCGAAGGCAGGUCACUGGGCCAUUACUGACGCUGAGGAGCGAAAGCAUGGGUAGCGAACAGG